rnacentral:rRNA from 1 species
AGUGAACGCUGGCGGUAGGCCUAACACAUGCAAGUCGAACGGCAGCACAGUAAGAGCUUGCUCUUACGGGUGGCGAGUGGCGGACGGGUGAGGAAUACAUCGGAAUCUACUUUUUCGUGGGGGAUAACGUAGGGAAACUUACGCUAAUACCGCAUACGACCUACGGGUGAAAGCAGGGGAUCUUCUGACCUUGCGCGAUUGAAUGAGCCGAUGUCGGAUUAGCUAGUUGGCGGGGUAAAGGCCCACCAAGGCGACGAUCCGUAGCUGGUCUGAGAGGAUGAUCAGCCACACUGGAACUGAGACACGGUCCAGACUCCUACGGGAGGCAGAAGUGGGGAAUAUUGGACAAUGGGCGCAAGGCUGAUCCAGCCAUACCGCGUGGGUGAAGAAGGCCUUCGGGUUGUAAAGCCCUUUUGUUGGGAAAGAAAAGCAGCAGGUUAAUACCCCGCUGUUCUGACGGUACCCAAAGGAUAAGCACCGGCUAACUUCGUG